ensembl:lncRNA ARNT2-DT ARNT2 divergent transcript
GGUGGAAAAAGAAGACAUUUCAAGUAAAAAAUAAAGCAGGUGUGCACCCAGCCACAAGAUAGGCCAGGCCCAGACAGAGAAACCAGGGUAUCAGCUAUGGCCCGCUCUUGUGCCCCGUAUCAAAGUUGACUGUUCCUGAUUCCAACAUCAAGCCAAAUGAGAAUUCAGCCUCUCUUCUACAUACCCCGAAAAGCAACACACUCAAAAUACCAACUUAAUUAAUGUAUAACGUAUACUGGACUGAAGAUUUCUUAAGGAAAGUAAAAGAGGAGGCUCUCUUCACUCACUCCACAUCAAAAAAGGUGUCAUUCUUUCGCGCUGCACACACCUUCCUCCACGUGGUGAAGAUACAUCGCUCCUGACAGCCUCAUGCCUGACUGGACACUGAAAAAGAGGUGAAGAGAUGAGGCGAUAGAACAAAAGAACAGAAAGAUAAUGAAGCUGAGACUAACAUAAUUAUGUAUGCAGCCACAAAUGGAGCACAAAGCAAUUACUGCUUGUGGGAAUUUGAGAGAUGCUCUUUGAAGAGGUGUGAGGGAAUCAGUAAUACUUGCAGUGACUUUUAAGGAGGUGGAGUGUGCUGAUGAAGAUGCCACAAAGAACUGAUGGGAAGUUAUUCCUCUCCCCAACUGCUAUUGUAUCCUUCCUGUAGUGCUGUCUCUGCUUUUUGCAUCU